rnacentral:rRNA from 1 species
GUGGUCAAGGGGUGCCGUCACCUAAAGGGGAGGGAGAAGUAGAAGAGGUUGGAGGUAGUUUAGGGUGAUGCGUUAAUGAGACAGCUAAGUCAACGAAUGCUAGACCAUAAAGAGAAACCUGGCGUACGCUUACGCGGGUAGAAGCGGUAUCUUCUUGGCAGUCUAUCGAGACAGGCAACUCUUCACCUCGUCGAGGCAAGGGUAGCCGGCCGUAGAGUCCAUAAACCACGGUUACGGGGACUGGCUCAAGAAGGGGAGGAGUAAAAUAGGUAAGGAAAGUAGGGGUCGUGUCGUUCGACAGGCGCAGGACGAGCUCUAAACAAUUAAAUGCCGGGACUUUUUAGUUGUACUUAAAUUCGGAGCGGCAGCUACACACGUAGGACGACCAUAAUGUACAUGACCUGUCCCGCUUAAAGUUCCGGAGAGGCAGCGGUGACGUGGCAGUACCGGCGUACGAGCCACUUAGACUUUGGCAACGACAGUUACACACGUAGAAGACAACCAUGUACAUAUCCUGUCCCACUUAAAACUCGGGAGUGUCAACGGUGGCGUGGUAGUACCGGCCAACAAGCUACUUAGACUUGGGACCAUGUACAAGCCCGGAAGUAAGCGAUCGUCGAGGAGAGUGAGGAGCUCGUAUCACUACACAAAUAAUUAGGGGUUAGGUACCUGAGAACGUAGAACGAAAGAUGUAUAACUUAAACAAAUACGUGGUCUAAUCUAAGUUCCGCAAACCUAACUUAACAACCUUCGCCAGUUAUACAAAGACAAGUGUUAAUUAACCGUGUUGUAACUUGAUGUGUGAACUAAAAUAAACAACCCUUUUCGAUAUUCGAUGUCCAACGUGAUGACAACUAGAAGAAACUUUCACCGGCUACCUACUAGGGAAUCGGUCAGGACAGGAGGAGAACUAGACGGCGGAGGUUAAAGAGACAAUCCAAACUACAUGUAAGUCUAUCGAUAUAAAUACUAGACUGUAGAGGUUAAAGAGUCCAAACCACUUAUAAAUCUAUCGGUAUAGAUACGUCUUAAAAUGAGAAACGAUACAACAUACGUCCGUCCGUUUACGAUGCCUUCGUCGGUUUAAUUUUGUACGUACAAGAGGUGUAAAAGCAGAUUACCACAAAUACAACCCUAAAGGAAAUAAAUAACAUACUUACGAAUACCACUAUAACCCAACAAACAUCUCCGUAGUGAACGUCUAUCAACUUACCUUCAUAGUUUACAAAUGAUGUAUAAAAUUACCUAGUACAGGAUACCCCGAUAGAUCUCGAUCUAAUACUGUUAUGACGAGGUACAGCUGAAUAAAUCCUAGUUAUAUAGUGAUGUAUGAUUAUCACUGUAAUACGGGGUGGCUCUAAUCUGUCCUUGACUAAUAAUGCCACAAAAGGACAUAAUACGAGAAAACCAAACGAUUUUACAAUUCGAUGAUAUAAACUGACUAAGACUAUGUAACACGUAGGUAGGUAACAAGGUACAGGGUCCAAUUGUUCUUUGUAACAUAAGGGUAACCAUAAAUUGAUCCUACACACGAGGACACCGUACUAGACAUUCAUCGGAGAUAGAGAAAGCUAGAUAAAAACAAUCUCUAGAACUACAUAUGUGUGUUAUCCCUCACGACUUCAGUGACUUUGGGGACCGAUGUUUUUCUUCAACGACUUUAAAACGUUACUAAACAUAAAAAAAAGUACAAAGGCCACCUGUCUAAUAUUUGUAACACACGAUCGACCAUUUGUUUCAUUGGAUUGGUUAAAACUUCGCUUCACAAUGAACCACGUCAGAUUGAGAAAUUGAAAAGAGAUUAUAAAAAAAGAAUGACUACAAAUGAAGGGUAUGUACAUUGUCACACCUCCUUAUACGCUUAAAUACAAAGACUCCGUUCGGUAUAUGUAUAAAAUGACCGUUAGUAGUACCGAGCGAAGGAAAGAAACGGCUUUAAGGUUUUAUUAAGGAGUUAUGAAGUCAGAUACAUUUACAAGGUACAUCUAAAUUCCAUUUCUAUUAUAUGGUAACGACGUAUUUUAUCUAAUAAGAUAUUAAGGUAGUAACGUACCAGCUCCUAUCUAGUGACUUUUAUACUUUUUAUACAUACCGGAGAAUUCUGUUUCUGAAUUCAAAGGACUUGUAGGUACACGACGAAAACGAGUAAAGUAAACAUCAGUAUGACUUCUCAAGGACCACAGUAUCCGAAUAUGUUUAAAAUCCAACAUGUUAAGUUUAAUAUUUAAUAUUUUCUCCAUACCUCAAACUAAGAAGACGUUUAAUAAUCAGAGAGAAAGUCAUAAAACUAAACGAAGCAAAAAUACACCAGGAACUUGACAGUCGGGCUCCCAGACUCGGCAUUAUAAGGAGACGAUAAGACGUAGAGGUAGACUACUUGUGGGUGUUGUACAACACAGAUCGUCGUCAUUGUCGGCUGACUUCGCAGUCGAACCGGUCCUCUUCCUCUACAAUACUUCGAUUACGUGUAUAGUCACCUACAAGUAAAAGGAAGUAACAACGUUAGGUAUUAUAAUCAGUCUUCUCCUCGAGAGUUUACUUUGUACAUUCUAUGUUGAUUUCUAACAUCUAUACAAAUCUUUCACCUUGGAAUGCUAAGAUAGACCUGUUUACUAUAAAAAAUGGAUGACAACAUACGUCUACUUGGUUUCAUUUACGUGUACACUCAAUACUAACUUUAAAACGUGUUAGUUCUGUACCCAUUAUCGAUCCACCACUACAAAGUCAACUUCGAAACUUUCAACCAGGCGUCUAAUAUAAAACAUGCAGAUAAGAGGUUUAAAACUUUCUAUGAAAUAAAACGCCCUAUUUAAAACUUUCUAUGUUCAUCGUUCUAGCUAGAAAGUACACAUGGUAAUAUCAUUAUGUCAAGAUUACAUACAGACAGUUUUCUCUUAGAAUUAAUAAAACGACAAGGAAAAUCUUCUCAAUCAAACAC